UACGGGGGGGGCAAGCGUUGUUCGGAAUUACUGGGCGUAAAGGGCUCGUAGGCGGCCAACUAAGUCAGACGUGAAAUCCCCAGGCUUAACCUGGGAACUGCGUCUGAUACUGGAUGGCUUGAAUUCGGGAGAGGGAUGCAGAAUUCCAGGUGUAGCGGUGAAAUGCGUAGAUAUCUGGAGGAACACCGGUGGCGAAGGCGGCAUCCUGGACCGGUAUUGACGCUGAGGCGCGAAAGCUAGGGGAGCAAACGGG
rnacentral:rRNA from 1 species